UUGAACGCUGGCGGCAGGCCUAACACAUGCAAGUCGAACGGUAACAGGAAGCAGCUUGCUGCUUUGCUGACGAGUGGCGGACGGGUGAGUAAUGUCUGGGAAACUGCCUGAUGGAGGGGGAUAACUACUGGAAACGGUAGCUAAUACCGCAUAACGUCGCAAGACCAAAGAGGGGGACCUUCGGGCCUCUUGCCAUCGGAUGUGCCCAGAUGGGAUUAGCUUGUUGGUGGGGUAACGGCUCACCAAGGCGACGAUCCCUAGCUGGUCUGAGAGGAUGACCAGCCACACUGGAACUGAGACACGGUCCAGACUCCUACGGGAGGCAGCAGUGGGGAAUAUUGCACAAUGGGCGCAAGCCUGAUGCAGCCAUGCCGCGUGUAUGAAGAAGGCCUUCGGGUUGUAAAGUACUUUCAGCGGGGAGGAAGGGAGUAAAGUUAAUACCUUUACUCAUUGACGUUACCCGCAGAAGAAGCACCGGCUAACUCCGUGCCAGCAGCCGCGGUAAUACGGAGGGUGCAAGCGUUAAUCGGAAUUACUGGGCGUAAAGCGCACGCAGGCGGUUUGUUAAGUCAGAUGUGAAAUCCCCGGGCUCAACCUGGGAACUGCAUCUGAUACUGGCAAGCUUGAGUCUCGUAGAGGGGGGUAGAAUUCCAGGUGUAGCGGUGAAAUGCGUAGAGAUCUGGAGGAAUACCGGUGGCGAAGGCGGCCCCCUGGACGAAGACUGACGCUCAGGUGCGAAAGCGUGGGGAGCAAACAGGAUUAGAUACCCUGGUAGUCCACGCCGUAAACGAUGUCGACUUGGAGGUUGUGCCCUUGAGGCGUGGCUUCCGGAGCUAACGCGUUAAGUCGACCGCCUGGGGAGUACGGCCGCAAGGUUAAAACUCAAAUGAAUUGACGGGGGCCCGCACAAGCGGUGGAGCAUGUGGUUUAAUUCGAUGCAACGCGAAGAACCUUACCUGGUCUUGACAUCCACAGAACUUUCCAGAGAUGGAUUGGUGCCUUCGGGAACUGUGAGACAGGUGCUGCAUGGCUGUCGUCAGCUCGUGUUGUGAAAUGUUGGGUUAAGUCCCGCAACGAGCGCAACCCCUGUCCUUAGUUGCCAGCAUGUAGAGAUGGGAACUCUAAGGAGACUGCCGUAGAUAAUACGGAGGAAGGUGGGGAUGACGUCAAAUCAUCAUGCCCUUUAUGUCUUGGGCUACACACGUACUACAAUGGCUAUAACAAAGAGAAGCGAGACAGUGAUGUGGAGCAAAACUCAAAAAAAUAGUCUCAGUUCGGAUUGAAGGCUGAAAUUCGCCUUCAUGAAGCUGGAAUUGCUAGUAAUGGCAGGUCAGCAUACUGCCGUGAAUACGUUCCCGGGCCUUGUACACACCGCCCGUCACACCAUGAGAGUUGGGGAUACCCGAAGCCUGUGAGCCAACAGUUAAAUGAGGCAGCAGUCGAAGGUAGAAUCAAUGAUUGGGGUG
rnacentral:rRNA from 1 species